AUUGUUGUUUCCGGGUUGUUUCUACUCGAUAGAGAUCUGAACGGCUCUGGAGUGUAGGAUCGUUCGACUACGUUGGUUCGUCUACUUCAUGGAUUCGUUCUUCUUCCAAGCAGGAUCACAGGAAAUAUUAUUAUUUCCCUAGAUACGAUUACUAUCAUUGCCAUGCUAGUUGUCUCGUUUCUAUCGCUAUGCUUUGCUGCCUACCACAUGUUGAUGUCACCCUCCCAAUAUUGCCAUGAUAAGCCUGUAAAGCAUUGUUUGGCUAUGUUACUCCUUGCUCAGCCUUCUUAUAGCAUGCUAGUUGCAGGUCCAGUUUUUUCCAUGUGGCAACAUGGGUUCCUUGUUAUAUCACCAUAUUCUUGCUC
rnacentral:lncRNA from 1 species